AUGGUCAGGAUAGGAAAGACGGUGGGGCCUUCAUCUGGGCCUCUUCCUUGGCUCUGGGGACUGGAGCCCCCUCACCCUUGGAUCUCAGCUGGCAUGUCGGCUCUCUGAGUUACAAAAAGGGGGGAGUGAAAUGAGGACACUACAGAUACAGAGGAUGGCAUCCACAAAGGCUCCUCUGCCACCUUUGUCACCUGCUCAAUGGCUCAGCUCCCCGCUGUGGGACAGCUCGCCUCCCGAAGUGUGCAUCUCUCUGCUCCUGACAGGCCUGAAGCUGCCAGUGUCACCACACACACACGGAGGACAGGUGGCAGGACACAUGUAUGGCCUGAUCAGCAGGUUCCAGCUCCACCCUGCCCUUCAGGCUGACAGACCAGCUCCUCUAAGGUCAGAGCCCAGCAUGCUCAGCUGAGCAGAACAUACGGUCCCUCCUUGGGAGCCUUUGAUAUUCUGGGCUGCAGCUGACUGAAAAGGACCAAAUUAUGACACCUGAUUCUUCAGGUCAGACACACCAAAUGGGGAGACCCAACUGAGACUUCCAGAGGCCUCGAGCAUGAAAAAAGAUUAUGAUUUCUUCCCUGCCAAUAUUUCAAAAUAAUAUACUAACAUGUGACAUAAGUAGACACUAUUUUGGGGCCAUCAACUAUCUGAUGCCAGAGAGCUUCCUUUGCCAUCCAGUUCCACUCCCCACUGCUCUGGGACCUGGGAAGGGAAAUGAACACACUGUUUCAACAAGUUCUCUUGUUCUUGGCUUCUGGUUGGGUUUAGCAAAUGGCAAACAGAGCAGGAGAUGAGAGGGAGGGAGGGAGGAAGGUAGAGUCCUGGGCUGGCUGUGGGUCUCUACCCCCUGCCCUCCCCACCCAGCCCUCUGUGUCUCCAAGUUCACGUUACCUUUCCAGGACCUAGGCCCCUCAGGCCAGGGAGGAAGCGGGGUUGCAGGGCCCUCUGUUAGUAGCCCAAGGACCCUGGACUAUCUUUUGUGGUUUCCCAGCACCUUUGUAACUAGUUCCCUUAUUAAACUCAACUUUGCUCAAUUC
rnacentral:lncRNA from 1 species